AUUGAACGCUGGUGGAAUGCUUUACACAUGCAAGUCGAAUGGUAGAGUAGCAAUACUUGAGAGUGGCGAACGGGUGAGUAAUAUAUCGGAGCGUGCCCAGUCGUGGGGGAUAACGUAGUGAAAAUUACGCUAAUACCGCACACGAUCUAUGGAUGAAAGCGGGGGACCUUCGGGCCUCGCGCGAUUGGAGCGGCCGAUAUCAGAUUAGGUAGUUGGUGGGGUAAAGGCUCACCAAGCCGACGAUCUGUAGCUGGUCUGAGAGGACGACCAGCCACACUGGAACUGAGACACGGUCCAGACUCCUACGGGAGGCAGCAGUGGGGAAUUUUGGACAAUGGGCGAAAGCCUGAUCCAGCCAUUCCGCGUGCAGGAUGAAGGCCUUCGGGUUGUAAACUGCUUUUGUACAGAACGAAAAGGUUUUUUCUAAUAAAGAGAGCCCAUGACGGUACUGUAAGAAUAAGCACCGGCUAACUACGUGCCAGCCGCCGCCGUAA
rnacentral:rRNA from 1 species